AUUGAACGCUGGCGGCAGGCUUAACACAUGCAAGUCGAGCGAGCGGCGGACGGGUGAGUAAUGUCUGGGAAACUGCCUGAUGGAGGGGGAUACAUACUGGAAACGGUAGCUAAUACCGCAUAACAUCAGAUGUGCCCAGAUGGGAUUAGCUAGUAGGUGGGGUAAUGGCUCACCUAGGCGAAGAGCCCUAGCUGGUCUGAGAGGAUGACCAGCCACACUGGAACUGAGACCCGUCCCAGACUCCUCCGCGAGGAAGCAGUGGGGAAUAUUGCACAAUGGGCGCAAUCCUGAUGCAGCCAUGCCUCGUGUGUGAAGAAGGCCUUCGGGUUGUAAAGCACUUUCAGCGAGGAGGCGUUACUCGCAGAAGAAGCACCGGCUAACUCCGUGCCAGCAGCCGCGGUAAUUC
rnacentral:rRNA from 1 species